rnacentral:rRNA from 1 species
AUUGAACGCUGGCGGCAUGCCUAACACAUGCAAGUCGAGCGAGAGGCGGACGGGUGAGUAAUGUCUGGGAAACUGCCUGAUGGAGGGGGAUAACUACUGGAAACGGUAGCUAAUACCGCAUACGAUCAGAUGUGCCCAGAUGGGAUUAGAGGGUGGGGGGGGUAAGGGCUCACCUAGGCGACGAUCCCUAGCGGGUCUGAGAGGAUGACCAGCCACACUGGAACUGAGACACGGCCCAGACUCCUACGGGAGGCAGCAGUGGGGAAUAUUGCACAAUGGGCGCAAGCCUGAUGCAGCCAUGCCGCGUGUGUGAAGAAGGCCUUCGGGUUGUAAAGCACUUUCAGCGGGGAGGCGUUACCCGCAGAAGAAGCACCGGCUAACUCCGUGCCAGCAGCCGCGGUAAUAC